GCGGUGAGCAUGUGGUUUAAUUCGAUGAUACGCGAGGAACCUUACCUGGGCUCAAAUGUAUGUUGACGUAUUCUGAAAGGGAUACUUCUUCGGACAAUAUACAAGGUGCUGCAUGGUUGUCGUCAGCUCGUGCCGUGAGGUGUCGGGUUAAGUCCCAUAACGAGCGCAACCCCUAUCAUUAGUUGCCAUCAGGUCAAGCUGGGGACUCUAAUGAAACUGCCUACGCAAGUAGUGAGGAAGGUGGGGAUGACGUCAAAUCAGCACGGCCCUUACGUCCUGGGCUACACACGUGCUACAAUGGCCGGUACAGAGUGAAGCGAAACCGCGAGGUGAAGCAAAACGCAGAAAGCCGGUCUCAGUACGGAUUGGAGUCUGAAACUCGACUUCAUGAAGUUGGAAUCGCUAGUAAUCGCGCAUCAGCAUGGCGCGGCGAAUACGUUCCCGGGCCUU
rnacentral:rRNA from 1 species